CGGUUAAUAGCGAGAAGUGGCCGUACGGCCUAAAAGGUUACUGCAUUUGCCUGAAAUCAGCAUUUAUUCAGGAGACUGCCUCCGGAGCACUGCGAACGGUGGACUGCUACAAGGACGUGCAGCUAAUGGAGGCUCAUUACUCAGUCAUGAUGAAACAGGGUGAAGCAGACUUUGCGGCUAUUUCUGAUUACGGACGCCU